rfam:Gossypium raimondii Chr01_contig_1291, whole genome shotgun sequence.
UGUUAAAAAUUUCAUCAAUUUAUACUAUUAAAAGCUUACGUGACUAAUAAAAUAACAAAACAAUAGCACAUGUUAUGCCGCAUAUAUCUCAUACUGACACAUAAAAACUAAUUUUUAACAACAAAAAUAGAUGAAACUUUUAACA